UAGUUUCCGGUUCCGGUUGGAGCGAGCGGCCGCAUCUACACUUCGGUCCGCAGACCAUACAAACGCUCCACACCGCGUGGCCGCGGCCACCCUAAUCUGGUGGUCCCAGCGCGCACGACCCACGUGGAGUUCCUGGUCUCCGGUAGCCUCUGGAACUGCCGAUCUGCGGCCAACAAGGCAGAGUUCAUCUCAGCCUAUGCCUCCCUCCAGUCCCUCGACUUCCUGGCACUGACGGAAACAUGGAUCACCACAGAUAACACUGCUACUCCUACUGCUCUCUCUUCGUCCGCCCACGUGUUCUCGCACACCCCGAGAGCUUCUGGUCAGCGGGGUGGUGGCACCGGGAUCCUCAUCUCUCCCAAGUGAUGAAAUCUCGCUUCUUGUGACGGCCGGCCGCCCAACAACCUGCCCGCUCGACCCUAUCCCCUCCUCUCUCCUCCAGACCAUUUCCGGGGACCUUCUCCCUUACCUCACCUCGCUCAUCAACUCAUCCCUGACCGCCGGCUACGUCCCUUCCGUCUUCAAGAGAGCGAGAGUUGCACCCCUUCUGAAGAAACCUACACUCGAUCCCUCCGAUGUCAACAACUACAGACCAGUAUCCCUUCUUUCUUUUCUCUCCAAAACUCUUGAACGUGCCGUCCUUGGCCAGCUC